GACGAACCGUGCGAACGUUGUUCGGAAUCACUGGGCUUAAAGGGUGCGUAGGUGGGCUGUCAAGUCCGGGGUGAAAGCCCCCCGCUCAACGGGGGAAUGGCCUUGGAUACUGGCGGCCUCGAGGAAGAUAGGGGCGCGUGGAACUUCCGGUGGAGCGGUGAAAUGCGUAGAUAUCGGGAGGAACACCAGUGGCGAAGGCGGCUGCCUGGGCCAGUUCUGACGCUGAGGCGCGAAAGCGUGGGGAGCAACCGGG
rnacentral:rRNA from 1 species